rnacentral:rRNA from 1 species
UACGAAGGGGGCUAGCGUUGUUCGGAAUCACUGGGCGUAAAGCGCACGUAGGCGGAUUGUUAAGUCGGGGGUGAAAUCCUGAGGCUCAACCUCAGAACUGCCUUCGAUACUGGCAAUCUCGAGUCCGGAAGAGGUUGGUGGAACAGCGAGUGUAGAGGUGAAAUUCGUAGAUAUUAGCUAGAACACCAGUGGCGAAGGCGGCCAACUGGUCCGGUACUGACGCUGAGGUGCGAAAGCGUGGGGAGCAAACAGG